rnacentral:rRNA from 1 species
ACGUACACUCCUGCGGGAGGCAGCAGUGGGGAAUUUUGGACAAUGGGCGAAAGCCUGAUCCAGCCAUGCCGCGUGCAGGAUGAAGGCCUUCGGGUUGUAAACUGCUUUUGUACGGAACGAAACGGCCUUUUCUAAUAAAGAGGGCUAAUGACGGUACCGUAAGAAUAAGCACCGGCUAACUACGUGCCAGCAGCCGCGGUAAUACGUAGGGUGCAAGCGUUAAUCGGAAUUACUGGGCGUAAAGCGUGCGCAGGCGGUUAUGUAAGACAGUUGUGAAAUCCCCGGGCUCAACCUGGGAACUGCAUCUGUGACUGCAUAGCUAGAGUACGGUAGAGGGGGAUGGAAUUCCGCGUGUAGCAGUGAAAUGCGUAGAUAUGCGGAGGAACACCGAUGGCGAAGGCAAUCCCCUGGACCUGUACUGACGCUCAUGCACGAAAGCGUGGGGAGCAAACAGGAUUAGAAACCCUGGUAGUCCCAUGA